GAUGAACGCUGGCGGCGUGCCUAAUACAUGCAAGUCGAGCGAACAGACGAGGAGCUUGCUCCUCUGACGUUAGCGGCGGACGGGUGAGUAACACGUGGAUAACCUACCUAUAAGACUGGGAUAACUUCGGGAAACCGGAGCUAAUACCGGAUAAUAUAUUGAACCGCAUGGUUCAAUAGUGAAAGACGGUUUUGCUGUCACUUAUAGCUGGAUCCGCGCCGCAUUAGCUAGUUGGUAAGGUAACGGCUUACCAAGGCAACGAUGCGUAGCCGACCUGAGAGGGUGAUCGGCCACACUAGAGCGGAGACACGGACCAGACUCCUACGGGAGGCAGCAGUAGGGAAUCUUCCGCAAUGGGCGAAAGCCUGACGGAGCAACGCCGCGUGAGUGAUGAAGGUCUUCGGAUCGUAAAACUCUGUUAUUAGGGAAGAACAAAUGUGUAAGUAACUAUGCACGUCUUGACGGUACCUAAUCAGAAAGCCACGGCUAACUACGUG
rnacentral:rRNA from 1 species